AUUUCGCUGCCCGGCCCGUCAGGACGACAUUCCCCGGGGCCUUAUCUCAUCUAUCGGGAGCUGCCUCUGACUAAGGCCGUGGCCUUUAUCACGCGGCGCCCACCUGGUCCUUAGGGUCCAGGGCGAAUAAAAGUCCAACGGCCAGGGCGGCGCUUUA
rnacentral:other from 1 species